rnacentral:rRNA from 1 species
GUACCUGGAGGAAGAGAAAGAAAAAUCGAUUUCCUGAGUAGCGGCGAGCGAAACGGAAAGAGCCCAAACCAAGAAGCUUGCUUCUUGGGGUUGUAGGACACUCUAUACGGAGUUACAAAAGAAAGUUAUAAAUGAAGCGGUCUGGAAAGGCCCGCCAAAGACGGUAACAGCCCGGUAGUUGAAAUGGCUUUCCCUCCAGAGUGGAUCCUGAGUACGGCGGAACACGUGAAAUUCCGUCGGAAUCCGGGAGGACCAUCUCCCAAGGCUAAAUACUCCCUAGUGACCGAUAGUGAACCAGUACCGUGAGGGAAAGGUGAAAAGCACCCCGGAAGGGGAGUGAAACAGUUCCUGAAACCGUGUGCCUACAAGUAGUUAGAGCCCGUUAAUGGGUGAUAGCGUGCCUUUUGUAGAAUGAACCGGCGAGUUACGAUUUGUUGCAAGGUUAAGCGGAAAAAGCGGAGCCGUAGCGAAAGCGAGUCUGAAUAGGGCGCAUAAGUAACAGGUCGUAGACCCGAAACCAGGUGAUCUACCCAUGUCCAGGAUGAAGGUAAGGUAAUACUUACUGGAGGUCCGAACCCACGCACGUUGAAAAGUGCGGGGAUGAGGUGUGGGUAGCGGAGAAAUUCCAAUCGAACUUGGAGAUAGCUGGUUCUCUCCGAAAUAGCUUUAGGGCUAGCCUCGAGGUAAAGAGUCAUGGAGGUAGAGCACUGUUUGGACUAGGGGCCCUUCUCGGGUUACCGAAUUCAGAUAAACUCCGAAUGCCAUGUACUUAUACUCGGGAGUCAGACUGCGAGUGAUAAGAUCCGUAGUCGAAAGGGAAACAGCCCAGACCACCAGUUAAGGUCCCCAAAUAUAUGUUAAGUGGAAAAGGAUGUGGGGUUGCUUAGACAACCAGGAUGUUGGCUUAGAAGCAGCCACCAUUGAAAGAGUGCGUAAUAGCUCACUGGUCGAGUGACCCCGCGCCGAAAAUGUACCGGGGCUAAACAUAUUACCGAAACUGUGGAUGAACCUCUUUAGAGGUUCGUGGUAGGAGAGCGUUCUAAGGGCGGUGAAGUCAGACCGGAAGGACUGGUGGAGCGCUUAGAAGUGAGAAUGCCGGUAUGAGUAGCGAAAGAAGGGUGAGAAUCCCUUCCACCGAAUAUCUAAGGUUUCCUGAGGAAGGCUCGUCCGCUCAGGGUUAGUCGGGACCUAAGCCGAGGCCGAUAGGCGUAGGCGAUGGACAACAGGUAGAGAUUCCUG